CCCUUAGAUGUUCUGGGCCGCACGCGCGCUACACUGAUGCAUUCAACGAGUCUAAAACCUGCUCUGAUAGGGGUGGGUAAUCUUUUGAAUGUGCAUCGUGAUUGGGAUAGAUGAUUGCAAUUUUUCAUCUUCAACGAGGAAUGCCUAGUAAACGCAAGUCAUCAGCUUGCAUUGAUUACGUCCCUGCCCUUUGUACACACCGCCCGUCGCUCCUACCGAUUGAAUGAUCCGAUGAAUAUCAUGGACUGAGGAUUAUAGCAGGUUCGCCUGUCUUGAUCUUCGAGAAGUGAAGUAAAUCUUAUCAUUUAGAGGAAGGAGAAGUCGUAACA
rnacentral:rRNA from 1 species